UCUCUCCACAAACUGCCCAGGAGUGAGUAGCUGCUUUCGGUCCGCCGGACAGACCGGACAGAUAGACGUGCGGACGGCCCACCACCCCAGCCCGCCAACUAGCCAGCCUGCGCCUGGCGCCUCCCCUCUCCAGGUCCAUCCGCCAUGUGGCCCCUGUGGCGCCUCGUGUCUCUGCUGGCCCUGAGCCAGGCCCUGCCCUUUGAGCAGAGAGGCUUCUGGGACUUCACCCUGGACGAUGGGCCGUUCAUGAUGAACGAUGAGGAAGCUUCGGGCGCUGACACCUCGGGCGUCCUGGACCCGGACUCUGUCACACCCACCUACAGUGCCAUGUGUCCUUUCGGCUGCCACUGCCACCUGCGGGUGGUUCAGUGCUCCGACCUGGGUCUGAAGUCUGUGCCCAAAGAGAUCUCCCCUGACACCACGCUGCUGGACCUCUGCAGAAGCUCUACAUCUCCAAGAACCACCUGGUGGAGAUCCCGCCCAACCUACCCAGCUCCCUGGUGGAGCUCCGCAUCCACGACAACCGCAUCCGCAAGGUGCCCAAGGGCGUGUUCAGCGGGCUCCGGAACAUGAACUGCAUCGAGAUGGGCGGGAACCCACUGGAGAACAGUGGCUUUGAACCUGGAGCCUUUGAUGGCCUGAAGCUCAACUACCUGCGCAUCUCAGAGGCCAAGCUGACUGGCAUCCCCAAAGACCUCCCUGAGACCCUGAAUGAACUCCACCUGGACCACAACAAAAUCCAGGCCAUCGAACUGGAGGACCUGCUUCGCUACUCCAAGCUGUACAGGCUGGGCCUAGGCCACAACCAGAUCAGGAUGAUCGAGAACGGGAGCCUGAGCUUCCUGCCCACCCUCCGGGAGCUCCACUUAGACAACAACAAGUUGGCCAGGGUGCCCUCAGGGCUCCCAGACCUCAAGCUCCUCCAGGUGGUCUAUCUGCACUCCAACAACAUCACCAAAGUGGGUGUCAACGACUUCUGUCCCGUGGGCUUCGGGGUGAAGCGGGCCUACUACAACGGCAUCAGCCUCUUCAACAACCCCGUGCCCUACUGGGAGGUGCAGCCGGCCACUUUCCGCUGCGUCACUGACCGCCUGGCCAUCCAGUUUGGCAACUACAAAAAGUAGAGGCAGCUGCAGCCACCGCGGGGCCUCAGUGGGGGACUCUGGGGAACACAGCCAGCCAUCCUGAUGGGGAGGCAGAGCCAGGAAGCUAAGCCAGGGCCCAGCUGCGUCCAACCCAGCCCCCCACCUCGGGUCCCUGACCCCAGCUCGCUGCCCCAUCACCGCCUCUCCCUGGCUCCCAAGGGUGCAGGUGGGCGCAAGGCCCGGCCCCCAUCACAUGUUCCCUCGGCCUCAGAGCUGCCCCUGCUCUCCCACCACAGCCACCCAGAGGCACCCCAUGAAGCUUUUUUCUCAUUCACUCCCAAACCCAAGUGUCCAAGGCUCCAGUCCUAGGAGAACAGUCCCUGGGUCAGCAGCCAGGAGGCGGUCCAUAAGAAUGGGGACAGUGGGCUCUGCCAGGGCUGCCGCACCUGUCCAGACACACAUGUUCUGUUCCUCCUCCUCAUGCAUUUCCAGCCUUUCAACCCUCCCCCACUCUGCGGCUCCCCUCAGCCCCCUUGCAAGUUCAUGGCCUGUCCCUCCCAGACCCCUGCUCCACUGGCCCUUCGACCAGUCCUCCCUUCUGUUCUCUCUUUCCCCUUCCUUCUUCCCUCUCUCUCUCUCUCUCUCUUUCUCUGUGUGUGUGUGUGUGUGUGUGUGUGUGUCUUGUGCUUCCUCAGACCUUUCUCGCUUCUGAGCUUGGUGGCCUGUUCCCUCCAUCUCUCCGAACCUGGCUUCGCCUGUCCCUUUCACUCCACACCCUCUGGCCUUCUGCCUUGAGCUGGGACUGCUUUCUGUCUGUCCGGCCUGCACCCAGCCCCUGCCCACAAAACCCCAGGGACAGCGGUCUCCCCAGCCUGCCCUGCUCAGGCCUUGCCCCCAAACCUGUACUGUCCCGGAGGAGGUUGGGAGGUGGAGGCCCAGCAUCCCGCACAGAUGACACCAUCAAGGGGGGAGCCCUAGGCCUGUCAGGCCCUGGCCCUUCUGCCCCAAAGAGAGGAGAGGCCCCACAUCCCGCCAGAGUCCCAGACACCGGUUUUCCUAGAACCCCCUCACCCCCACUGGCCCACUGCUGGCUAGGUCUCCCCUUAUCCUUCUGGUCCAGCGCAAGGAGGGGCUGCUUCUGAGGUCGGUGGCUGUCUUUCCAUUAAAGAAACACUGUGCAACGUG
rnacentral:sRNA from 1 species